rnacentral:lncRNA from 1 species
CCCAGAGUGGGUGGGGGUUCUAGUAAGGGAGAUACAUGAAAUAGGCCAGAAGAUAGAGUGCAUUUCCCCAGCUGUUGGGAAACCCUCCCCCUGCCUCGAAGAGGGAGAGUCUGAUGGUGCAGCAGUGGAACCCACAGACGUUACAACCGUCCAGGUUUCAGCUGAACCACAAGGGCAGUCACAGCCAGCAGCUGUUGCCCCUGUGGAAACAAGGAAGUCUAAGAUGAAAUCACAGCACCCUGUUGAUAAGGAUAAGAAAGGAGGGCCCUCACAACCCACAGUGGAGCCAGAAGUUGAAAUCAUUACUGAGUCUCUGACAUAUGAGAGUCUCUGUAACUUGCAAAAAGACAUUGUGAGGCGGGAGCUUGAGCCUUAUACAACCUGGUUACUUCGGGUCUGGGACCUUAUGGGUACAGGUGUGCAGCUGGAUGGUGGUGAGGCAAGGAAUGUGGGACCCUUGACCCAGGACUCAGGUGUGAAUCAGAUAUUCGUCAGGGAGCCAGGGCUCCUUUCCCUCUGGGAGCGGGUUUUGAUGAGUGUAAGAGAGAGGUUUGUCCACAGAGAGAGAAUGGAAGAGCACUAUCGUAGAAGGGAAUGGAAAACCAUUGAGGAAGGGAUCCAACAGCUGAGAGAAGUGGAGAUAUUAGAGGUCCUUUUUGGGAGGGGUGGACAGCAUGAUAAUGACCCCGACAAAGUCAGGUGCACUGGGCAGAUGUUGUGGAGUCUGGCAAAUCUAGGGCCACGUGAAUACACCACCUUCAUUGCCAUGAUUAAUGCUGAUAACAACCAAGAGACAGUGGGUUCUGUCGCCACCAGGCUUAGAAAUUUUGGCAGUAUGGUCCAUGGCCUGAUGCAGGCUCAGGUCUCUGCUGUGAUUAAGAAACUCAAAGAGGAAAUGAGAGAAAUGAGGGAGGAGAUGAGGAAGAACAGUUCCCAUAUGUCACCAGUGCGGGUCACAAGCCCAAAACUCCAAGCCCAGCGUCCCCCAGCUAGAGAGAGACAAUACACCCCAUGAGCUUAGCUGUGGUUCUUUCUGUGUGACCAUGGGGAAGAUAUGGGAAAGUGGAAU